ACAAAAAAAAAAAAAUUCGAAAGGUUGUACAAUUAUCGUUUCCAACAACGAACUUCUCAUCAUCCAAAUGUCCCUAUGGGUCUCCUCCUUACCGGUCCGGGUUUGUCAUGGGCUGGAAGCGAAAAAUCAAUUUCGGGCCAUCGAUCUCUCUCUCAAACUCUCUCAUCUCCUCUCAAAGAGUCUCUCCAUCGAUCUCUCUCUCAUCUCUCUCUCAUCUCUCUCAGACCCUCUCGACGACCCACUCUUAUCUCUCUCAGAGUCUCUUCACGGAAGAGAUAGAGAUUGUUGCUCUCACUCUCUCAACCCUUUGAAGCUCUGAAGCUUAUCUCCUCUGAUUGUGGAUCCUGCACUUAAAGGCGAGUCUUUUUGCGCUGUGCUCGGCUCUCACACCAGGUUUUAGUUUCUUACUGUGCACUCUCAUAGCUCUCUCCAGAGGUUCUUCUCAGUCUCAUCCUCCAUCUAAAGUGAUUCAGUUCGAUUUUUCAUCUCAACCCUUUGAAGUUCUGAAGCUCUAUAACUGUGUUCUUAGGUAGCUCUGAAGCUAAGCUCUGAAGCUCUGAAGCUCUGAAGCUCAACAGUACAACUUGUACCUUUAGAUGGAGGAUGAGACUGAGAAGAACCUCUGGAGAGAGCUAUAAACUUUAUAUUCUUUGCUAGGUACAACUUGAUGGCUAUUAAUAUUCGGUUUCAUAUCAUAUGUAGAUGAAGAUGAAGAAGACGAGAUAGUCAUUAUCCGAGAGGCUCCAAGUCAAGCAUUAACAACUCAAGACCAUGUUGGUACCAUGGAACUAUAGCUGGUGGUGAGUCUUUGCUAGGAGAAGGAGAUUGUACCUUUUGCUCAAGAACCUGGAGUUGGAGAGUACGCUACAGUUAUGGAAAAGAUUGUGAGAGGGCUUAGUUUAAAGACAUCAUUUGGUGAACAAAGAUUAUGGUCGUUGUGUCCGUUUGUGGUCGUUGUGUCCGUUUGUCCGUUUGAUGAUACUUACACUAUAAUGUGGUCGUUGUGUCCGUUUGUAGAAGACGAGAUUAUGAACAGAGCAUGAUACAUCUCUCAAUAUUUUUUUGGUUGUUA